rnacentral:lncRNA from 1 species
AUGGCACAAAACAAGGAACACAUAGUUAUGUUCCCAUUCAUGGCACAAGGCCACAUAAUUCCAUUCUUGGCUUUGGCCCAACUACUAGAGCAGAAAAAGGGUUGCACCAUAACCCUCAUCAACACCCCACUCAACAUCAAGAAGCUCAGCUCCUCUUUAUCUCCAAGCUCCUCCAUUCGCCUCCUUGAAAUCCCUUUCAAAAGCUCCGACCACGGCCUCCCUCCUGAUGCCGAAAACACCAAUGCCUUAACCCGCCAUCUCUUCUUCAAACUCGUUCAAGCUACCUUGUCCCUCAAACCCUCUUUCAAACAUCUCAUGCACAAUCUUGUUCAUGAAAGAAAUGGACAACAUGGACGACCAGCUUGCAUCAUCAGCGACAUCUUCUUUGGAUGGACUACAGAGAUAGCUCAUGAGCUUGGCAUGCGCCAUGCUGUGUUUUCCACAGCUGGAGGGUUUGGCACAGCGUGCUAUUACUCAGCAUGCUUGCAUUUACCUCAUCUGAAAGCAAAAUCUGAUGAAACUGAAUUCACCCUACCUGAUUUUCCGGAAGCUAAUAAAUUCCAUUUCUCCCAGCUCCCAGAAAGUCUCAGAGCCAGCAAUGGCACUGACCUUUUUGCAUUGCACUGGAAAAAAAUAUUUACUGAGACGGUGAAAACCGACGGGUUUAUAAUCAACGCAGUGGAGGAGCUUGACAGAAUUGGAACAAUGUACCUCAGGAAGACCUUUAACAUGCCAGUUUGGGCAAUAGGGCCACUUCUUCUAUCAUCAAAUGGAACUAACAGAGCUGGAAGAGAAGCCAAACUCACACCAGAGGCAUGCAAAAACUGGCUUGAUGCGAAAACACCCAAUUCGGUUUUGUACAUAUCAUUUGGUUCUCAGAAUAUACUAUCCAAGUCUCAGAUGAUGCAGUUGGCAAUGGCAUUGGAGGCUAGUGGAAAAAAUUUCAUUUGGGUUGUUAGGCCACCAUUGGAAUAUGAUAUAGAUUCAGAGUUCAAGGAGGAUGAAUGGUUGCCAAAGGGGUUCGUGCAGAGGAUUAAAACUCAAAACAAAGGGUUAAUUGUGGAAAAUUGGGCACCUCAAGUUGAAAUUCUGUCUCAUAAAGCAACCUCUGCUUUUUUGAGCCAUUGUGGGUGGAAUUCAGUGGUGGAGUCCCUGAUCCAUGGGGUGCCUUUAAUUGGGUGGCCUAUGGCUUCUGAACAGUUUUUUAAUGCCAAGUAUUUGGUGGAGCAGGUUGGGGUUUGUGUGGAGGUAGCAAGAGGGAGGAGCUGUGAGGUUAGGCAUGAAGAUAUAGUGGCAACGAUGGAUUUGGUGAUGAAUGCGACAGAGAAAGGGAAUCAAAUGAGAAGAAAAGCUUGUGAGGUCAAGGAAAUUAUUAAGGAUGCCAUGAAGGAUGAAGAUGGAUACAAGGGGUCGUCUAUUAAAGCUUUGGAAGACUU